AUGAGGUCAAUUACUUUAAUAACAGAUAGGAUUAUGUUGAAUUAUACUUUAUCAGAUUAGUUAAGAAUAUGACUAUGAUUGAAUUGAUUUUAUUAGAGGCUUAUGUCAGAAAGUGAGAAUUUAUAUGAGACUCUUGAUGAAAACUAUGAUUGAAGUAUAUGCUAGCGAUUAUGGUUAAUGAUGAAUUUGAUGACGAUAAUAAGCUUGGUUGAUGGUGAUUAUUGAUUGGCAAGGACGUGGGUUUCGUCCCGCUUGUGUUAUUGAUGAGGGACCUGCACCAGACAAAGAUGGUGAUUUUAUCCCGCUUGCCGUAGUUGCAGUGUGAUGUGGGGAUGGUAGUUUCAUCCCGCUCACGAAUAGACAAGUUGAGGUUAAAGAUUCCCUCUCUUGUUACAUUGGGAGAUUGGAUAGAAGGUUGAGGAUUCCCUUCGAUUCAAUUUUUAAUUGUGGUGUGAACGAGUUAGGUUGAGGAUUCCUUAUUGUUGCAUCACAGUCUCUCUUUGAAUGUGAAGUGUGUCAGAUAGUAUAUUCCAAGAGUGUGGCAGGCAUUAUAUCCCAGAUAGCGCUGCGUCCAGUGAGAUGGUGGAAAGUUGAGGAUUCCCUUCUUUAUGUUCCUCUUGGGGAAGCACGAUGGAGAGAUGACAUACGGGUUAGCUACCAAAUGUGUCGAGUCUGGCAAUUUAACUGAUACAUACAUGACACAACACACCUCGGUGAGAGUGCGGAAGUUUUGGGUGACGAAUUGAAAAGGAUCACUUUUGAGAUAUUUUGUUUUGACACUAGAGAUUUCUCCACUUUUGAAACUUUGUUGUAUAUGACUGUAUAUUUCUCUUAGAGGCUUUUAUUUGGAGAAAUAGGCUUUCUAUUUUGUAUAUUCCUUAGUGUUAUAACAUUUUAGCCGGCUUUUCUUCGCGAGUCGAGACUAGUAAUUGAUAUGUAGUAUAGGUUAUUAUGUAUCUUCACUUUGAACUUAUGAUAUAUUCUGCUUUUGUAUACAAUGCUUUAAGGCGUUCGUAUGUGAUUAACAGCUGACAACGUUUAAUUUU